rnacentral:rRNA from 1 species
GACGAACGCUGGCGGCGUGCUUAACACAUGCAAGUCGAACGGAAAGGCCCUGGUUUUGUGGGGUGCUCGAGUGGCGAACGGGUGAGUAACACGUGAGUAACCUGCCCUUGACUUUGGGAUAACUUCAGGAAACUGGGGCUAAUACCGGAUAGGAGCUCCUGCUGCAUGGUGGGGGUUGGAAAGUUUCGGCGGUGGGGGAUGGGCUCGCGGCUUAUCAGCUUGUUGGUGGGGUAGUGGCUUACCAAGGCUUUGACGGGUAGCCGGCCUGAGAGGGUGACCGGCCACAUUGGGACUGAGACACGGCCCAGACUCCUACGGGAGGCAGCAGUGGUGAAUAUUGCACAAUGGGCGGAAGCCUGAUGCAGCAACGCCGCGUGAGGGAUGACGGCCUUCGGGUUGUAAACCGCUUUCGCCUGUGAAGAAGCGAGAGUGACGGUAAUGGGUAAAGAAGCACCGGCUAACUACGUG